GAUGAUAGGGUCAAAGGGUUUUGCAUUCUCUUUGGGAGUUGCUAUUAGGAGCCUCCUUUGUGACCUUUAUUUAUAAAGGUUAAAUAAAAAGAAGUCUAUUCUAUUUAUAGUAUAUUCUGUAAUUUCACCUGCUUUGAUCUGAGUUUAACACAUACACUUGUAGUUAUUAGUUGAAAAUUGUUUCAAAAAAAAAUAUCUUUUCUUGCGUCGUUACUAACUCGUAUGAGCUUGUAUAUCUCCUUUAUGAAACUUUUAGGAUCUCGUUCGUUUGUCUAUUAAAUACAUCUCUUCCCGCAUCAUCUUAUUAAUGUUGGGUAAAAAAAAUGGUUUUAGUCGCAUUGCUUCUCCCGUCUUUCCUCUUUACUUCAGUACCUAAGGUUAAGAGUUUUUGAUCCGUUUGAAUAUCGAAUAGUUUCCACGUUUUAUUUAAAUCCAUCCUUUCUUUUUCGUAUUAUCAUUUGCUAAAAAAUUUUUGAUAGGAUAAAAGUUGUUUUCAUGUUGUAUGUGUGGUGACAUGCCUAAUAAUGUGCUUACUCUAUCGGAACAUGUUGUUAUUUCUUCUCCCAAAGGUAGGUCUAGUAAAUUUGGGAGAAAUUCUAUUUUAGUUGCUUCCUAAUUCUUCCCAACUCUUUGUUGUUAUCUUGAGUUUUAGUAAUAGCCAUCUAUACCUAAAAGGGCUAGAGAACAUUAAUCACCAAAAGAAAAAUAUAUAUAUAAUAAUAAUAAUGAUUAACACCUGCGCACAUCAAAUUCCGAAUGGAUUCUUGCCCAUUGCAUCUCUUAAUGGGCCAUUGAGGCCCUCCAUGCCUAUCAGGUCAAGCCCCGAAAGAAAACCUAAAAUGAAUUACAUGGCGUACGGAUACGAGAAGUCAAAAGAAGAGAGAAAAUGGGUUAAAGCCCCAUCUUUAAAGUGGCGAAGAGACUCAAAAGUCUCAUUUAUUAGUUUAUUUAUUUACUUAUAGAUUUUAUUCAUUUUAUUUAUUUAUUUAUUUAUUUGGGCCACGAAGCCAAAGUUGUACUUAAUACAAGUGGAGUGAUACUCGAGCCAACGACUCAAAAAGUAGAUUAGGAUAGGUGAAAUGGGUCGAAAACCCAAUUAGACUAGGACAUGUCUUAUUGAUUUGGGCCCAGUGGCCUAAAUCCUUGACUUUCUCCCCUUCCCCUUAUUUUUAUGUUUCUUUACCUUAUGUGUUUUGGUAACCUAGUUAAAUCCUUAGUCAAGUCGCUAAAAAGCUGGUUCUGCAUAAACACCAAAAUCUUUUUCUAAAAUUUCCUUCUUUUCAAAACUAAACCUUUUUCUAGAGUUAGUCAAAGACGAUUUCCAAACAGUCCGGAUAGCCGCAUGUUAGUGGACCUUUUAGGUACCUAACACCUUCCUAAAAUGUUAAUAAGAACCGCUUACUCAGAAUCUCAUAACUUAAACAAUUUUCCUGUUUUAGAUCGUUUGAAGUAACUCUAUAAAGGUUUCUUAAUUCCUUUUCAAAAUUUAGUGGCGACUCUCUUUCAAAAGUCAAAAUUUUCGCAAAACAGAAAUGGCGACUCUGCUGGGGACUUUUCGAACUAGGUUCUAACCAAAUGUUUGAUUUCAUAUUUUGAUUAACUAUUUAUGUGUUUAUAUGUUUCGAUUUUGUAAGUAUUAACUAUCGCAUCUCUUGGCAUAUCCCUGCAUUAUUUAAACUGUUUUGGGGUUUCGUGGAUGUCUAACUUUUUAUGAGGUCCUGUCUAACUUUUUAUGAGGGACUCUAUCAAGAAUAUAACAUGCAGAUAAGACAACUUCGCCCUCAUAUAGUCAGGUAGACCCGAGCUUAAAAGCAUAAAAUUCAUCAUUUUCUUAAGUGUUCUAUUCUUUCGUUUGGCUAACACCAUUUUGUUAGGGUGUAUAGGGAGCACAAAACUCAUGCAUAAUACCUUUUUUCUCACAAAAAUAUUCUAGAGUUUUAGUACCAUAGAGGUAGACCGAAGAAAUAUUGGAGGGAGGUGAUUAGGCUUGAUAUGGAGCUAUUACAGCUUACAGAGGACAUGACCCUUGAUAGAAAGGUGUGGAGAACACGGAUUAGGGUAGAGGGUUAUGGGUUGGGAGCGCGGAGGUAGUAAUAGGGGAGUUUCUGGUUCGUAGUGUUGUGGUUGUAGUUUUUAGGGCUAGUGGUGUUGGAUUUUUUGCAUCCCGUACUAGUUUAUUAUGCACUUAUUUUUUGUGUUUAUUAUACUGUUAGUUUAUUUUGUGUACCAUACUAGUUUGUACAACCUCUCUACUUUUCUUAAGGUACUGGUAUGGUCUGCGUACACUCUACUCUCCCCAGACCCCACUAGGUAGGAAUACACUAGGUAUCUUGUUUUUGUUGUUGGGUUUUCAUGGAUGUCCCAGCCCCUGUUGUUCAAUUCCAAAGUGUGUUGGAAAUACAAAUGUCUUAUUAGCACGUGAGUCGUCUGACGUUGUUCAUAUUUUCAAACUCAAGUUAUCCGCUUGAGAACCAGUGUUCAAGCCCACUUUAGACACCGAUGAUAGAACGAAACCAAAACCCUAGUUUAGGCAUGAGACUAGGACGACCCAUUAACCGAGAGGGGUAUUGGGUCCAUUAGAAAACUUUCCCUGCGUCUAUUGACCUCGAGUCAAUUACAGACGAAUCAUAUUUAUGUGUUGAAAAAAAUACAUAUUUGUCUAAUUCAAUCCAAUAUCCUUUGGGUCGGGGGAAGGCUUAUCUUUAUCUGCUUUCAUGUAGGAUAUGGCUCAACGACAUUCCUAUAAAAAGUUCAAGAUGGUUACUAAACCUAACGAUUUCUUGAAACUAUGGUGGUACCACAUGAGCGCAUAAGAGAAAAAGAUUGUUACAACACACAUUGGGCAUCUUCCUUCUUUGAUCGAGAUGGACGCUUGGCCCGAAAUGAUCCAUAUACUAACAACUUUUUGGGAUGAAUAGAAUAUGGUAUUUCGCUUUGGGGAUGUUGAAUUGACUCCUACCAUUGAAGAGGUAUUGAUUUGUUACGAGAGUACAAAAAUAUGUUUUGAGAGAAGGGAGACACAGUGAUAAGAACAUUUUAGUCCUGGUUGUGUGGGAUAGUCAAUAGAUCAAGGAGGUAUUUUUAAUUGACAAAGACACCUAGCUAGGAGAACGUGAUGGAGAAAAUAUCACUUUUCGUGAGUUGUACCAUCGGUUCGGGAGAUUCAAUGCUUUUCACAAAUUUGGGCUUAAAUAUGAGUCAGAAGCAAAUUAGAAGGAGACGAGAGACUUUGCAUUUGUGGUAGGCCUACUUGGAACCAUGUUGUUACCACAAGGGGAAAAUGGCACAAUUCAUCUGAGGGUUGUUUAAGUGACCCAUGCACUCUUCUUUGGAAUGGAGUACAAUUCUAAAAAGGUAUUUCACAACUUAGCUCCCAUGAUUGUUGCCGGCAUAUAUCGAGCUUUGGGAAGGUGUCAAGUCGAGAAUCGUUUCUUUCAAGGCUGCAACCUUAUAUUAUAAUGGUGGAUGAUGAUGCAUUUGGUAAAAAAUCCUAGAACGGCACAACCCGACCACAAAACAAGGUGGAAUCUACUAGAAUAGCACAACAUGUGGUUGUUUUUACACAAAUUCAAAAGGGAAGCAUCUCAUGAAUUUUGGUUUAAGACUCGGUAUUUCACAACUUAGCUCCCAUGAUUGUUGCCGGCAUAUAUCGAGCUUUGGGAAGGUGUCAAGUCGAGAAUCGUUUCUUUCAAGGCUGCAACCUUAUAUUAUAAUGGUGGAUGAUGAUGCAUUUGGUAAAAAAUCCUAGAACGGCACAACCCGACCACAAAACAAGGUGGAAUCUACUAGAAUAGCACAACAUGUGGUUGUUUUUACACAAAUUCAAAAGGGAAGCAUCUCAUGAAUUUUGGUUUAAGACUCUUGGAGAAUUAAGAGAUGACGAUGUCCUAUGGUCCAUUAACUAUCUUCUUUCAGGGAAAUACAUUAUUCGAGGAGGCGAGUGGCCUUUUCUAGUGCUUUCGGGUCUCAGGGGAACCUGUCCCUACAAUCCUGGCAGAGUUCUUACGCAAUUUGAUAUCAAGCAGGAGAUGCCUCAAAUCGAUUCUAUGCUCAGAUUCUUUAUCGAAUAUGAUGAAACCGAGCCCCCGCUUAAAGACUACAUGAUAAAUGGAUGGAAAAGGAGAAGGUGGACAGAAGUCUUUUUUGUAUAGGGUAUGAACCUGAAGUCAGCGAAACGUACAAGGAGUGGUUAAAAAAGAGCCUGGCCGGAGCAUUGAUUCCGGGACCGAAUGUGUCCACUCGGGUUAUGGAUGUAGAAUCCGAGCAUCAGAUCCAACUCCACAGGCUUCAGGAUAAAUAUUAGAAAAGUGAAAUCAUGCACUGACAGAUGCACGUAGAAGAUGCUUUAAAAAUACGUAUGUUGAGAGAGGAGUUGGAAAGAGCUAGGCAAGAGGUUGAUGAUGCUAGGCAGUGUCUAAUCGAUUUGGAUGAUAGCAUGGCCUCUCAACUCUACAGUAUAAGAAAAAUGACUUACAGUAGCAAGGCACAGUUAUGCGGGAGUCAUCUAAUCAUUAAUAGGUAUCAAAUAGCACAGGAGGUGAACAAGGCAAAGAAGGCAAAGACAGACGAAGGAGCCUCCGGUAGCUAGUUUUUCUAUUUCCCUUGCGUGGGAACUUAUUUUCUUUCAUAUUAUUUCCGUUUUUUCUUAAAGAUUGUAUCCCUCUUUUGUUAUUUUUUGUAGGAAUUUAUGCCCUUUUUUGUGUCUAUAUAAGUUAGGGGAUAAUGGAUUGACUUUAAGGAAGCAUAUAUUUUCUUCAAAAUCGUUAGGCCUGAACCCUUGGCUCAAAAAAGGUCACCCCAGUUAGGAUACGCAUUAUUAUAAUGUUUUGUAUGAUAUAAUUGUCUUAUGUGCUUAUGUGUGUUUAUUUGGAUCAAAGGCAAGUUUAUCCGCUAUACUCCUAUGGAUGAAUUUGGCUAUGACUCAAACAACUCUAUGUUGUUAUUUCUUGUCAAAUAUUUUGCAUUACUUAUCACAUAUGAAAACUAACACAUCUACCUUUGAGUUGUUUUACUUAAAAGAUAGUAGAAACUACUCCGUAUUGAUAUAGGCUGGCAGAACAUCCCUACUUCACCCGAUCAAAAGCAAACAAAAUCCCAUCCUCUGACCAUCAUUCAAUAAUGACUGGAAAUGAUGAAGAAAAUGCAUUGACCAUCAGGGACAAUCAAAUAGAGGAAUAGAGUGAGAUGAUUGUGGAAUUUGCAAGAAAGCUUGAAAUGCUUUAGUAGGAAAUAAAUCGUGCUCGAGAUUUGGCUCUCCUGGCCAUUACUGUUAAUGCUCCCGCUCCAGGAGGAAACGAGACUCCACUCCAAAUCCCUUCCCUCAGUACGCCUAUUCUCGGGGAUUAGCCAAAUAACAUAUCGUCCAUCUCUGCUCCUCCACUCGACCAAAAUACCAAUCAUGAAAAUAACCCAGAUGCCUACCAUCCACAAAAUCCAUGUCUAACACCACAAAACCCAUCUCUGAAUCCAUUUCCAAAUCCCCAAAACCCAUUUGAAAAUCAACAAAAUUUGUGUACAAAUCGACAAGAUUAACUCUCAAAUCCAAAAAAUCUAUCCCUGAAUCUUCCAUUGAAUAUAUCCCCGAAUCUACCAAAUUCAUUUCCAAAUUUGCAAAAUCCUUCUCAGAUGCCACCAAGCUACUCGAAAAUUCCAAAAAACCUUUCUAAAUUUCAAAACGUCCUCCCCACCUACCAACCAACUUACUUUCAUCUUCAAAAUCAAGCCUUCCUUCUAAAUCCCCCACAUGCCAUCAUAUCCCCCGACAUCUAUAAUCCUCUUCCUAAUCCCGAGAUCGACCAUUUUGAAGAGAAGGAGAAAGAGUGAAGACCAAGCAUGAAAUGAAGUUGCUAGCUAUGAAUGAAGAAAUCAUGAGGAUCAAAGAAUCUCAUGGAGCGAGGGACCACGAUGGUUUAGGGUACAAUGACUUAUGUGUUAACCCUGGAGUAGAUCUACUAGAAGGGUACAAGGUCCCCAAGUUUGAAGUGUUUGAUGAUGCCAGAAGUCCAAUGGCCCUUCUAAGGAGGUACUACGAGCAACUGGUGGGGAUCAGGAAAAAUGAGGCGUUACUGAUGCGCCUAUUCAGCCAAAGUUUAAGCGGUGAAGCCUUAGAGUGGUUUAUGUCUCAGCAGCCGAACAGAUGGACUGGUUGGAAAGCAUUGGCCAAGGGUUUCCUUGACAGGUUCUCAUUCAAUAUUGAAAUAGUCCAAACCGAUAUUCACUAGAUCGAAUCAAACAGAAGAGUGAUAAGAUUUUCCAAGACUAUGCUUUUCGUUGGGGGAAGGAAGCUGCCAAAGUACAACCCCCCAUAUCCGAGGAAGACAUGGUAUCUGCAUUCUCUCGCACUCAAGAAGGAGAAUAAUAUACCAGAAUGGUGUCCGCUGUCAAGGUGACUUUUGUGGAUUUGGUAAAAAUAGGAGAAUCAUUGGAAGAAAGUAUUCGGACAGGAAAAAUUGCCGAAACCCUGACAUUAUCCGGGACUGCCAUGUUGUUGAAGAAGAAAAAUAAAGAUGUAGGCACAAUUUCUGGUGGUUCUGUUGCAAAAACAAUAAAGAGGUUCAACUCUAGGAAUGCUUUCUCUUCUCUAUCGCCACCAAACCUUCAGCAUGUGUUCUACGCCCACCCCCAAUACCAAGCUUCACUUUCAAAUGUCCAAAAUCAGUAUCAAACUCUACUCCCAAACAUUGAAUCUCAGUAACAAACUCCACUCCCAAAUAUUCAAUCCCAAUACCAAGAUCCACAACCAAAUAUCUUUCCCCAAUACCAAGUUCCACCUCCAAAUUAUCAGUCGCAUGUCCAACCCACUCUUUCAAAGAACCGAAAAAAUAUCCAAGAACCUCCAAAUUAUCAUCAAGAACCUUAUCCUACAAACCAAAGCCACUAUAACACCCCACGUCCAAACUACGAAAAAAAACCUCCCCGAAACUUCACACCACUAGCUAAAAGUCGCACUCAAUUGUUCGAAAGACUGAAGAACGCCGGUCAUUUGCAACUGAUGCAGUCAAAGCCUGUCAAUCCCAACUCUCGAUUUAAUUAUCCUGAUCAAAAUUAUGCUUAUCAUUCAGGAGCAGCAGGGCACAGUACCGAGGACUAUUUUAUCUUGAAACACAAGAUCCAAGAUCUGAUUCAUCAAAAGGUCAUUACGCUUUAGUCACCGAUGCCAAAUGCCAAUAGUAACCCAUUGCCUAAUCAUGGGGGACCUAUAGUUAACAUGAUUGAAAUGGAAGAAGAAUGGGUGUCUAGCAAGACUAUUACUAAAGUGAAUUCAGAAGAGUACAAAAGGGCGGAAGAGGUAGAAAAGAUAUAGAGAGUUAUGGCUACCUUAAGUGUCAAUGAGAAAGCCUCAUGUAUAGUAAUGACGGCCUCGAUCCAAGUGUACACUCCCCCUCCAACAAAAAAGAUUCACAGAAAAGGCCAAUCACUGAAGGGGAGGCUAAGGAAUUUUGGAGGCAUAUGCAACCCAAAUAUUAGUCAAUUGUCAAACAUUUAGAGAAGAAGCCAGCCCAAAUCUCCAUUUUGGCACUAUUAAUGAGUUUGCAGUACCACCGAUAAGAUUUAUCGAAGGUCUUGGAUGAAGCAUAUGUUCCCAUAGGAAUGAGUGUUGAGAACCUAGCUGUGAUGAUAGGAAACACUGUGGGGGAAUCAUCGCAUAUCAUUCAGUGAUGAUGAGUUGCCGUUUGAAGGAGCGAUGCACAACAAAGCCUUGCAUGUCACUGCUAUUUGCUAAGAUUAUGCGAUUAAUCAGGCAUUAAUAGAUGACAGAUCUGGUGUGAAUAUUUGUCCCCUCUCCAUGUUUGUUCAAAUGGGCUAUGAUUUGGGAAAAAUUCAUCAAAGCUAUGCAAAUGUGAGAGCAUUCGAUGGAGCACAGAGAGAUACAAUAGGAAAAAUUUAUUUGUACAUCCAAAUGGGACCUGCUGAGUUCAAAAAUAAGUUUCAUGUUAUGGAUAUUCAUCCUAGCUACAACCUGCUCUUGGGAAGACCAUGGAUACAUGGUGCAAAGGCCGUUUCAUCACCCCUUCAUUAACUAUUGAAGUUCAUUUGGAAGGAUCAUGAAGUAGUCAUCCAAGGGGAAGGAAGCCGAGCGAAUCAUCCCAAUGGUUAUGUACCAGUGAUUGAAGAUGUUCCAAAGGGUAAUAUUUUCUAUACGGUUGAAAUUAUAAAUGCUGUGGAGAAGGAUCUGACGCUCCAAGCGCCAAUGCCUUCUAUCUAUAAAAUUAUUGAGAUGGUGAUAUUAACAAAUGAAUUCAAGCCUGGUUGGGGUUUGGGGAAGAAUCUACAAGGAAUUAUUGAGAUUGUUAUGAUCCCAGAGAAAGGCUCUAAGUAUGGGUUAGGAUAUCAGCCUACCGAGAAGGAUAUGGUUGAGGAUAAGUCAGAGCAGAGUUUGUGUAGGCCCUUUCCACUCCUGUACCAGUCAUUUGCUGCACAGGAGGUGUCGAAUAAUGAUGGUCUUAAGGAUGGGAUAGGAUAUUUGUUAGAGAGAUGCAAUAUUAUACCAGAAGAUUUCCCAAAGUCCGGCGGGGUGAAAAAGAUUGCGCUAGUAGAGGUCUUGAAAAAUUGGACCUCCACUCCACUCAUAACCCAUCGCUCAUCGUGGUAGAUGAAAGGGCAAUUACUAAUAGUUUUAAAAUCAGUGAUGAUUCGGAAGAGGCCCCGCGAUCCACCUUUUAUAUCUCAAAACUUUCUUUUUGUAUUUUACUGCUUUCAAAAAGGCAUGGAUUUGUAUUUGUGCGAGUCAUGAGCCAUGGUUUUGUAAUUAUCUCGCAAAUUUCAUUGAAAAGGCAUUCAUUCAUUUAAAAAAAAUUAUUAUUCCUAAAACAUUCCUAUUUGUAUAUUUUAUUAUUAUCUCAUUAUCAUCUAACUUGGUUUGUUUGUCCAUUACAGUAACAGUAACUUAAAAUCUGCCAAUGUCAUGUCAUGUCAAAGCUUAGAUGAACAAAAUAAAGGGAAUGAUGAUGAUUGGAAGGACGGUGAUGAGGAACAAUUAUUUGAAGAUAUAGAGGAGUUUGAGAACCGAGAAAAGCCUAACCUAGAGGAAACUAAAAUAGUCAACCUCAGAGAUCACAUGAAAUCAAAGAAACAAGUGUCAGUGUCCACCUGGCAGAAGCACAAAAGAGAGAGCUCAUUCACCUGUUGUGGGAAUAUAUUGACGUGUUUGCUUGGUCCUAUGAUGAUAUGCCGGGAUUGAGCACUAGUAUUGUGUCGCAUAAGUUGCCAAUAAAUCCAGAGUUUGAUCCAUUCAAGCAAAAAACGUUGAAAUUCAAGCCAGAUUUAAGUCUAAAGAUCAAGGAAGAAGUGACAAAACAAAUCUAGUCUAAGGUUGUGGAGGUCAUAAAAUAUCCGACGUGGUUGGCCAAUAUCGUCCCUAAGCCGAAGAAGGAUGGCAAGAUUCGAAUUUGUGUUGACUAUAGAGACUUGAAUAGAGCUAGUCCUAAAGAUAAUUUUCUGUUGCCCAACAUCCACAUCCUCAUCGAUAACUGUGCAAAGCAUGAAAUAAAGUUAUUCAUUAAUUAUUUCACCGGGUAUCACCAAAUAUUGAUGGAUGAGGAAGAUGCAGAAAAGAUGACUUUUAUUAUGCACUGGGGUGUUUAUGAUUACAGGGUAAUGCCGUUUGUUCUCAAGAACAUGGGUGUAACAUAUAUGAGGGCUAUGAUGACUAUUUUCCAUGAUAUGAUCCAUAAAGAGAUUGAGGUGUACGUGGAUGAUGUAAUUAUCAAAUCCUAUGAGAGUUCGAAUCAUCUGACUCAUCUGGAGAAAUUCUUCAACAGAUUAAGAAAGUACAGUUUAAAGUUAAAUCCUGGUAAGUUUGCUUUUGGUGUGCCAUUAGGGAAGUUGUUGGGGUUCAUAGUCAGCAGAAGAGGCAUCGAGUUAGACCCAUCCAAAAUCAAGACAAUCCAGGACUUGCCACCGCUGAGGACCACGAAAGAAGUUAUAAGUUUCAUGGGUCAUUUGAAUUACAUUAGCAGGUUCAUCGCUUAAUCGAUAGUCAUAUAUGAGCUAAUUCUCAAGAUGUUGAAGAAAAAUUCAUUGAAUGAGUAGACAGAAGAAUGUCAAAGAGCUUUUGACCGCAUAAAGGAAUAUCUAUCUGCACCGCCAGUUUUGGUUCCACCAAGAGAAGGAAUUCCAUUAUUGCUCUACCUGUCAGUCUCAGAAAAUGCUUUUGGAUGUGUCCUCGGGCAACAUGAUGAGACUGAUAGGAAAGAGAAAGUCAUUUACUACUUGAGUAAAAAGUUUACGCCAUAUGAAGACCAUUAUACUCUUAUAGAAAGGACAUGUUACACUUUGACUUGGGCCGAACAAAAGUUGAGGCAUUAUCUGUCUUCAUACACGACAUACCUCAUCUCAAGAAUGGAUUCAUUGAAGUAUAUAUUCCAGAAGGCCAUGCCUACAGGAAAGCUAGCCAAGUGGCAAAUGUUGCUGAGCUAGUUUGACAUCGUGUAUGUAACUCAAAAGGCAAUCAAGGGGAUUACUUUGGCAGAUCAUUUGGUAGAGAAUCCAGUUGAUGAUGAGUAUGAACCACUUCAAACUUACUUCCCAGAUGAGGAAAUUCUAUUCUUGGGAGAAGAUAUUACAUAAAUUUACCCUGGAUGGAGGCUAUUCUUUGAUGGAGCGGUCAACUUCAAAGGUUUAGGAAUCGGAGCAGUGUUGGACUCAGAAAUGGGUCAACAUUAUCCAGUAACUGCUAAGUUGCAUUUCCCAUACACCAACAACAUGGCCAAAUAUGAAGCUUGCAUCUUAGGUCUCAAAUCGGCACUUGAUAUGGGUGUUUGUGAAUUGCUAGUCAUCAAGGAUUCAGAUUUGCUGAUUCGCCAGGUACGGGGAGAAUGGGCGGUAAGAAAUUCAAGAAUUCUGCCUUAUGUUGAUCUGGUACAGGAAUUAUGUGGAAAAUUCAAAGAAGUUGAUUUCAGACAUAUCCCAAGGAUACAAAAUGAGCUUGCUGACACUUUGGCCACUAUAUCCUCCAUGAUUUGGUACCCAGAUUAGAGUUACAUUGAUCCUUUGGAAAUAAGAUUGAAGGAGCAACCUACGCAUUGUGCACGUGUUGAAGAGGAGCCCGAUGGAAAACCAUGGUACUAUGACAUUAAAAGGUAUUUAUAAUAUGGAAUAUAUCUUGAAGAGGCCAGCAACAACCAAAAGAAAAUAAUCUAGCGUUUGGCAAAAAACUACUUUCCAAGUGGGGAAUUUCUUUUUAGGAGGACACCUGAUUUAGGAUUUUUAAGAUACUUCGAUGCUGCGGAAGCCAAUAAAUUGAUAAAAGAAGUACACACAAAAGUUUGCAGACCCCACAUGAAUGGGUUUGUCCUUGCCAGAAAGAUCCUGAGAACCGGCUACUUCUGGAUGACUAUGGAGAAUGAUUAUAGUAAGUAUAUGCAGAGAUAUCCGAAAUGUCAGACACACAGAGAUUUGAUUCGAAUGCCUCCACACAAGCUUCAUGCAAUGAAUUCACCUUUACCUUUCGUAGCUUGGGGCAUGAAUAUUAUCAGACCGAUAGAGCCAUCAGCAUCGAAUGGGUAUAGAUUAAUUUUGGUUGACAUUGACUACUUCACUAAGUGGGUCGAAGCUGUGUCAUACAGAGCCGUCACUAAGAAAGUUGUUGCAAAUUUCAUUAGGGAUAACUUGGUUUGCCGAUUCGGAGUGCCGAAAUAAAUCAUUAAUAAUAAUGGGGCAAACUUGAACAGUCACUUGAUGAAAGAAAUUUGUGAUCAAUUCAAAAUCGUGCAUCGCAGCUCGACCGUAUAUCAUCCACAGAUGAAUGGAGCCAUAGAAGCUACCAAUAACAACAUCAAGAAGAUCUUGAGAAAGAUGGUCAAAAAUGAUAGAUCAUGGCAUGAGAUAUUACCUUAUGCUUUGCUAGGAUAUCGCACAACAGUUCAAACCUCCAUCGGGGUAACUCCCUAUUUGUUGAUUUACGGGAAUGAAGCAGUGAUACCUUUUAAGGUUCAAAUACCUUCCCUGAGGAUUAUUUAAGAAGCUAAACUAAUUAACGAAGAGUGGGUUCGUGCUCGUUGUGAACAACUCAUGUUGAUUGAUGAAAAGAGAAUGGUUGCCAUGUGUCAUGGUCAGUUCUAUCUGUACAGGAUGAUUCGUGGUUUCAACAAGAAAGUGAGAGAUCGAACAUUUAAAGUUGGGCAAUUAGUUCUCAAAUGCAUACUCCCUGACCAAGAAGAGUACAAGGGCAAGUUCGCUCCAAAUUGGCAAGGUCCAUACAUAGUUCGCAAGGUACUAUCUGGAGGGGCUCUGAUUUUGUCUGAGAUGGAUGGCCAUGAGUUGACCAAACUAAUCAAUUCUGAUGCGGUGAAAAGAUGCUAUGUUUGAAGGGAGUUAUAGUUUUGUGGUUCUUAGUUUAUCUGUAAUCGCCGUUUAAUAAUGUGUUUUAUGACGUGUAAUUACCUAGAACAGCUUUCACUUUAUCUAAAAACUACGUUUGACCUGAAUUCCCAAGAAAGGGACACGUAGGCGGCCUAUGUCAGCUUUGGGCAACCCCUUAGGAAAUUUAUCCUUUCCCUUUAUGUAUGAACUACGUGAUGACCUAAACUCCUAAUAAAGGGAUACGUAGGCGGCCUAUAUCGGCUUUGGUCAACCCAUUAAUUUCUUUUGUAUAUCCCUAGCGUAGUCCUAAACUACGUUUGACUUGAUUCCUGCUUCAACGGGAUACGUAUGCGCCCCAAUGGCUCGGUCAUAUAACCCCAGGAAAUGAAAACUGGGGCAGAAUUUUUUAGAAGGAAUCUCAAAAAUUCACAAGAGAAUAUCAACAUCCAACAAAGAGAAUGAAGAUCAGCAAAGACUUUAGAUCCACUCAAGAUGAUAUCAUCUCAGACUACUUUAAACUGGGGCAGAAAUUUUGAGGGAGGCCUCAAAAUUUCAAUCAAAUACUGGAAUAUAUUUCAGAUUCCCCAACACUAGAGGUCGAAGUUGAGAUUUGAGAAUAACCACCUGUGAUAAAGUCUAGGAAGACUGAAUCUCCAUCUUUGAUAGAUCCUCGACAAUGCUGAAUCCCUAGCUAUCCUCCGUCAAACGUCAGACAUUGUCAGAAUCAAGAGAAAAAAGGUCGUUGAGCUAAUACAUGACAUGACUGGCAGAGAUUUUUCAAACUUUUGCAGGAGUUCUCGAAACUAUUUUCUAAAAAUUGAGAGUACUUUCAAAAAAUCUACCUAAAUCUUUUACUUAAUGAUUUCCUAGACAUCAAUUAGGACGAACAGUCAUGGGUGGAAGUCCCAACAUCAUGAAAUACCUGAAAGAUGGCGAAGGGCAAAUCAAGGAUCGAAGGAGGUCAACACGGAGUAGUUUCACUCAAACUAAUCAUUUUCUUUGGGCACAGGGACCAAUACACAAAAAUGAGAGUCUCUUUCAAAAAUCCCCAAGCAAAUUGGAAGCCACACCAGAGAAUUAAUGGUUUAGUACCCAUAUAUUGAAGACCUUUUGAAGUGUCCAUCUUAUUUCUUGAGAUCAUGGAGGACAAACAAAAGUGUCUUGUCUUCUUUACAAAUAUUGUAUUUAGAAUUUUUCUAAAAAACAGUCGCUAGCAAAAACAACUUUGUGUCUACUAGUCAUCUACCUUGAGUACAGGUACAUACAAAAAGCAAGACCCUGACAAAUGAUUUCAGGUGAAACUAUUUUUAAUAUAACGAAAGAACCAUUGCAUAUUAUUGCCAAAAAGGGUCAUUGCAUAUUAUCGCCAAGAGGUCCAUCUUAUACUAUUGCCCAAGAAGGAUAUUCAAUAUCUGUUGACUCACUAGACACAACGCUGGCAUCGAGGAUAUCAUCAGUAUUUAAUAUGUCUAUUGACACGCAAGACACAAUGCUAGGGUCAAGGAUAUCAUCAUCAUUUUAUAUCUGUUGACACGUAAGACACAACACUGGCAUGGAGGAUAUCAUCAUCAUUUUAUAUUUGUUGACAUGCAAGACACAAUGUUGGCAUCGACGAUAUCAUCAUCAUUCAAUAUCUGUUGAUGCGCUAGACACAACACUAGCAUCGAGGAUAUCAUCAUCAUUCAAUAUCUGUUGACGUGCUAGACAGAAAUGCUAGCGUCAAGGAUAUCAUCAUCAUUCAAUAUCUGUUGACGCGCAAGAUAGAAACACUGGCGUUGAGGAUAUCAUCAUCAUUCAAUAUCUACUGACACGCAAGACAGAAACACUGGUGUGGAGGAUAUCUCAUCAUUUUAUGAAUCAACAUUUGAAUACAUCGAGAGCACAUGAUUUGAAGGGACACCUUUAAGUCUCUAUCUAAGGAUGAAUGAUAUAUAAGAUUUCCUAGAAAUUGACAAUUUGAGGGUCAUCUAUAAGUCAUAUUAUUUGAAAUAGUAUAGUGUGUAAGAUCACCUAUGAUUUGAUAGCCUAUAGGUCAUCCAUAAGCCACAACAACAUCCUAACCGAAUAGUGUGCAAGAUCGCCCAAAAAUCGAUAGUUCAAAGGUUAUCCAUAAGUACCAACUAAAUCCUUACCGGAGAAUAUGUUAGAUUAUCAAAUUACUAUGUCCAAGGGUUCUCUAUAAGCCGCGUCAUAUCCAGGACCGAUUAUGUGUAGGAUUACCCAAAGACUAAUAAUUUGAGAGAUUAUCUAUAAGUCAUAUUGUAUCCAAGGUCGGAUGAUGUGCAGGAACCCCUGAAAGCUAGCGAUUGGAAGGAUAUCUGUAAGCCAUCUCUUAUCCAAAGUUGGAUAAUGUGCAGUAUUACCUAAAAGCUAGAAAUUCAAAGGAUAUCUAUAAGUCGCCUUAUAUCCAACAUCAAAUAAUGCGCAAGAUUAUCCAAAGAUUGACAAUUUAAGGAAAUUUUAUAAAUCAAUCAUCGGCUAUAACCGGAAAGUUUAUCAUUCCACAUACAACAAGUUAUAUAGGUAACCAAAAGGGUUUCCAAACUAGCAUAAGAUUACACGAUUGUAGGGACCGUUCUACAUAAAGUAUCGCCGGUGUCCAAAAAGGCCACCCCACUUUGAAGACAUAUACAAUCAACAAAUGUCAUAAUUAUACAACAACCAAGAGGUUUGUUCCAUUUGUUGUUGCCAGAUAUUUCAUUCCAAAUAGGUACAUGAAGAGAUGAUUCCACUUUUCAUGCCACAACUCACGUGGAGAUAUGGUAAAAGAUUGCAUUCCUCUUUCGUGAAUUAUGUUUAGCACUAACACUUUUGCUUGAAACAUUGUCGAGAGAAUCCAAGAGGAUGAAAAUCUCAAAUAAAAAACAUAGGUGCGGAUUACUUCAGAUAGGACGCAGCACAACGUGAAACUUUUUCUUAGCAGCAAAAUGGGACAUAGUCUAGAGAGGGACGUCAAACUCUCUGGAUGGGAGCUAAAGGAUUAUCACCACCACCAUCUAACCACACCUCUAUUAGAAGGCAUGUGGGUAUUUCUGGGAUAUUCUGGUUUCCGCUUCAUCUUUGAGAUAUUUCUAAACUCAUAUCGAGGGUAACCUCCUCUUUCUUUCAAAGUCGGGUGACAACACCCUCAGAGUUUAGAAAUUAUGUUCGGGUAAGUUCUUUUCUAUGGUUGUGAAGGAUCCCACAUUCAUGGUUAAGAGGUUACAAGCCUCUUUUCCAAAACUCGAUCAACUUGUCACUCAUCCUGAGCUAAAGAUCAUCUGAAAUAAAAGACUAUCUUUUCUACCAAUCGAGUCGAACUACAAGCAGUCUGAUUUCCUAAAAUCUUGCGGAUAUGUAGGCUAGGAUCUAUGUAGAAAACUUGACUUCAUUCCAACGUCCCCCCUAAUCCCUUUAUUCCCCAGUUUCUUGGUUUUAUCAAAAACUUUAAAACCGAGAUAGUUGAUGGAUUUUCUUGAAAAUCGUGCUUAAGAUCAAGCCUUAUGAACUACAAGUGGCCUGAAUUCUCAUGAAACCUGAGAUAUGUAGGAAACCUGAUACCGAGGUUCAUCCAUAACUCCAUGAAACUCGUGCGGAAAACCAACCUCUCUUAGAUACGAAUUUGUGGUCGGACAAAAAUUGUGAACGUCAACCUCCCUUUGCCCAGGAUUACUUACAUCUAUCCUACCCAAAGGGCGGGGUAGUUGUUGGCACCUAAUUUUUUCCCUCCACAACUAAAUUUAAUCCUGAGUUUCUUCGAUUCUUAAUAAAAUCAGAAUACUUAUUUAAUUCGAAUAAAAAAAUUUCAAAAAUAUAUUUGUACAUAAUUUUGUGAUCUUAAGUAGCAAUUAUAUAUUAUCGUGUUCAAAUAUACGAUAUUAUAUGAUUUGAUUACUUAGAUAUUUACUCUAUGAAAUAUCAUAUUUCAAUUAAGGAUCAUUUCGAAAAAUAAUAAUUAAAAUCUUGAUCUAAAUAUAAUUUAUUCUCGAAAAUAAUUUAUUUGGAUAAAUAUACAUUUGAUUUUAUUAAAUCAAGAAGCUCGGGAUUAAACAAGGUGUUAAUUCGUAUCGAAUUUUGAUUUAAUUUGGUCAAUUUAUUAAAUUAGUCCUUAAUUGAAAUUAAUAUGGCCAUAAUUACAAUGUAAUUGGUCAAUUUAAUUCGAAUUAGGCUAAAAUUUAAAAAUGAUUGCCUAAAUUUUCGUCAUUGGCUAUUUGAUAAAUAGCCUAAUCUCUGCAAUACUAAAAUCCUAAUUCUACCCAAAAAUAUUCAGAUACCUCCAGCCCUGUUCAUUGUCAUAUUAACAGGCCCAAAAUCCCUGACCCAGCCCACCAUCAACAAAUCCCCCUUUCUUCCUUAAUCAGCAAGAACUAGUCCCCAAUGCAAAAAACAAUCAAAAAUGGCAUACAACUCCAGGAACUUGAACAACAACGACAAGCUCGAUUCAGUGAAUCCACCAUCAAACCAACCCAAAAUAGAUCCUAAACCGUUCCUUUUCCCUCUUUCUCACAUCUCACACGGCAGUAGGAUAAGGAAAACCCUAGAACCUUCUAGAAAACAGACUAGGUGUCAUAUCCAACAGUUCAAUCCUAUAAAUUUCGGAAUUCCCAUAGGUUUUGGGGAAGAAUUUGUUUUCCCUAAAUCUCAUUGGUCCACCAAUUUCAAUAUUGGUACAAUCGAUUGAUGAAACCCUAAGCGAUGAGAGGAUUUUCCAAUUUCAAAAUUCAAAAACAUCCUUCUUUUAAAUCCCCAAAAGACCCCUAAUUCGGGGGAUAUAAGAAGACCCCUGGGGUCACUAUUCUGGGGGAAUUUUUUCUCUUCUUUGAGGGAUUUUUGGUUUUUGUAUCCUCUUCUUUCCCUUAGGAGUUGGAAAUUUUAGAAGCCUCUGUUUUUUUUGUUUAGAGAAAUUUUGGGUUCGAAAAAAGGGAGAAAUUCUUUGGUUGGCAAAUUUUAGGUCACGGUUGAGGGUUACUUUCCCUUCUGAGGUGGAAAAAUUAAGGGAGAAAGCUAGGUUGGAACAUUUUUCUGAGAAAAAUUUCUGAUUCGGAAAAACUGAGAUAGAGGGAAAAAAGAAAAAGAAAAGAUUUCCGAAGAAAGAUUAAAUCUUUUAAGUUUUCCGGUGGUUGUGAUCCCCGUAUCAGUUUGUCAUCUUGUUUUACUGCUCCCGAAAAGGUAACGUCCUUUUUUCAUUUAAUUUCAAUUAUAUUUCUGCUCCCUCUCAUCAUUCUAUAGUCAUGACUGUCAUUCCGAAGAUUUUGUAAGGUGGGUUGUCUGCUGUAGAGGUCUUCAAGACCACAGGUUUCCAUUUUAGUGAAAGGCAAUGUUUCUUUGUAGUGCGACGUUGGGAUGAAUUCCUAUUGUGAUUGUAUGACAUGUGGUUUUCAUCGUCCUCAGAUCUCGAUUUUGUGAUUGGUCAUCUACUCUCAGCAUUAUUGAUUAAUUUCUAUCCAAAUGUAUCAUCGUGUGGACUGUCUGUGAUUUGAAGAAGUUAAAGAUCAUAUUUUGAUUCUCGCUUAACAAUUUUCAUGCUCUUGCUGCCUUGAUUCGUAGUUGUAGUUUUAUAAUCUUAAGUGCUGAGUGUAGCUUGUUGGGAGGAUAUGAAAGCCCCAAGUUUCAUAUGAUAAACUGUGAGCUUUCAAACUUUGUUGUUGUUUCUGCAUUUAGGACACAUUUAUUUUUAGAGUUUCUGAUUUCGUUAUAAUUCAUCUGGGAGCAUUUGCUUUUGUUCAUACAAUGUUUUUGAUGAAAAUUUUCUUCGAUUUCGACUUUCGUGAAUGCCGUAUUGUUUAAAUGAUGAGCUUCUAGCCUAUGGAUUAUUGCUAAUAUCCUGUUCUAAAAAAAAAAAAAAAAGGGUUACUGAGUCACUUUAUUCCUGUAAACGAUUGAGUUAAAGUGCAGUGUUUCUUUUCUGUUAAAAAGGAUGAUAGGGUCAAAGGUUUUGCAUUCUCUUUGGGAGUUGCUAUUAGGAGCCUCCUUUGUGAAGUUUAUUUAUAAAGGUUAAAUAAAAAGAAGUCUAUUCUAUUUAUAGUAUAUUCUCUCAUUUCACCUGCUUUGAUAUGAGUUUAACACAUACACUUGUAGUUAUUAGUUGAAACUUUUUUCAAAAACAAAAAAAAAAAAUUAGCUUUUCUUGCGUCGUUACUAACUCCCAUGAGCUUGUAUAUCUCCUUUAUGAAACUUUUAGGAUCCUGUUUGUUUGUCUAUUAAAUGCAUCUCUUCCCGCAUCAUCUUAUUGAUGUUGGGGAAAAAAAAUGUUUUUAGUCGCAUUGCUUCUCCCCUCUUUCCUAUUUACUUCAGUACCUAAGGUUCAGAGUUUUGGAUCCGUUUGAAUAUCGAAUAGUUUCCAUGUUUUAUUUAAAGCCAUCCUUUCUUUUUCAUAUUAUCGUUUGCUAAAAAAUUUUUGAUAGGAUAAAAGUUGUUUGCGUGCUGUAUGUGUGGUAACAUGCCUAAUAAUGUGCUUACUCUAUGGGAACAUGUUAUUAUUUCUUCUCUCAAAGAUAGGUCUAGUAAAUUUGGGAGAAAUUCUAUUUUAGUUGCUUCCUGAUUCUUCCCAACUCUUUGUUGUUAUCUUGAGUUUUAGUAAUAGCCAUCUAUACCUAAAAGGGCUAGAGAACAUUAAUCACCAAAAGAAAAAAAUAUAUAUAUAAUAAUAAUAAUGAUUAACUCUUGCGCACAUCAAAUUGGUUUGAUUGCUAUUUUCCAUCACAAUGCAUGUGUGAAGUUGAUUCAUUUCUCUUGAAAUUCUAUAUUUUGAACCAUCGUGGGUUCCUUUUCAUCGAUUGAUCCAUCAUACUACUUAUUUGUGUGGCAUUUGGUAUUCUGGAUGCGUUUUGAUUUCUUUUAUCUUUUUCCUUGCAUGUGAAUUCGUUUUGGAGUGCAAAUGGAUUCUUUCCCAUUGCAUCUCUUAAUGGGCCAUUGAGGCCCUCCAUGCCUAUCAAGUCAAGCCCCAAAAGAAAACCUAAAAUGAAUUGCAUGACGUACGGAUACGAGAAGUCGAAAGAAGAGGGAAGAUGGGUUAAAGCCCCAUCAUUAAAGUGGCGAAGAGACUCAAAAGUCUCAUUUAUUAGUUUAUUUAUUUACUUAUUGAUUUUAUUCAUUCAUUUAUUUAUUUAUUUAUUUAUUUGGGUCACGAAGCCAAAGUUGUACUUAAUACAGGUGGAGCGAUACUCGAGCCAACGACUCAAAAACUAGACAAGGACAGGUGAAAUGGGUCGAAAGCCCAAUUCGACUAGGACAGGUCUUAUUGAUUUGGGCCCAGUGGCCUAAAUCCCUUACUUUCUCCCCUUCCCCUUUUUCUUUAGUUUCUUUACCUUAUGUGUUUUGGUGAACCUAGUUAAAUCCUUAGUCAAGUCGCUAAAAAGUUGGUUCUGCAUAAACACCAAGAUCCUUUUCUAAAAUUUCCUUCUUUUCAAAACUAAACCUUUUUCCAAAGUUAGUCAAAGACGAUUUCCAAACAGUCCGGAUAACCACAAGUUAACGGACGUUUUAGGUGCCUAACACCUUCCUAAGACAUUAAUAAGAACUGCUUACUUAGAAUCUCUUAACUUAAACGAUUUUUCUGUUUUGGAUCGUUUGAGUAACUCUAUAAAGUUUUCUUAAUUUAUUUUAAAAUUAAGUGGCGAUUCUCUUUCAAAAGUCAAAAUUUUUGCAAAACACGCUUCAGCCAUAAUUCUCUACCUCAAAUCAUCAACAUUCGGAACACACAGUCUACCUUACAAUCUCAACACACCAUCUCCCCUUUGGGAGAAAACCUCUACCUUCUAGUCCUUAGCUGACUCCUUCAGUCUGACUAAACUAGGAUCCUUGUCGUGCUUCUCCUUUACCUUCAAGACCAAAGAGGAUUCAAAACUACUUUUAACUAACAUACUCCCUUCAGCGGAAUCAAGCAAUCUAACACCCAACCUAGCUAAACGAUGCACAUCACGAGCCAAUUCUUUCUUAUCAUUCUCUACAUGAGCCAUACUACCCAUAGACAACCUACUAAGAGCAUCUGCCACAACAUUGGCCUUGCCCAGGUAAUACAUCACACUCAUAUCGUAGUCUUUUAGAAACUCUAACCAACUUAUUUUUCUAAGGUUCAACUCCUUCUGAGUAAAAACAUACUGCAGGAUUUUGUUAUCAGUAAACAGAUCAACAUGAACACCAUACAAAUAAUGUCUCCAGAUUUUCAAAGCAAAAACUACAGCUGCUAAUUCAAGAUCAUGGGUUUGGUAAUUCUUCUCAUGAGGCUUCAACUGUCUAGAGGCAUAAGCUAUAACUUUACCCCUCUACAUCCCAGACCAACUCUAGAAGCAUCGUAGUAUACCACUAGACCAUAUGUACCAUCGGGUAAAGCUAACAUUGGGGCUGAAGUGAGUCGAGUCUUCAACUCUUGAAAACUCUUCUCACAAGCAUCUGUCCACUAGAACUUAACUUUCUUUUGGGUCAAUCGGGUCAUGGGGGACACAAUAGAAGAGAAUCCCUUAACAAAAUGAUGGUAGUAAUCAGCUAGACCCAAGAAACUCCUAAUAUCAGAUGGGGAGGUAAGUCUAGGCCAAUUUUUCAUAGCUUCUGUCUUUUAAGGAUCAACUCUAAUACCUUUGAAAAAAACAAUGUGACUCAGAAAAGCAACUGACCUUAACCGAAAUUCACACUUACUAAAUUUAGCGAAUAAUUGAUGAGCUCUAAGGGUUUCCAACAUGAUUCGAAGAUGAUCCGCAUGGUCAUCCUCACUUUAAGAAUAUACAAGAAUAUCAUCUAUGAACACAAUAACAAACAAAUACAGAUAUAGCUUGAAGACUCGGUUCAUAAGAUCCAUGAAAGUCGUUAGAGCAUUGGUUAACCCAAAGGACAUGACAAGAAACUCAAAAUGACCAUAGCGGGUUCGGAAAGCUGUCUUUGGAAUAUCACACUCUCUCACUUUAAGCUGAUGAUAGCCUGUUCUAAGGUCUAUCUUUGAGAAAUAACUUGCACCCUGUAGCUGAUCAAAUAAAUCAUCGAUUCUAGAAAGAGGGUACUUGUUCUUAAUAGUCACCUUGUUGAAUUGACGGUAGUCAAUGCACAUACGCAAUGUACCAUCUUUCUUCCACAGAAAUAGAACAGGUGCACCCCACGAGGAAACACUAGAUCUGAUAAAGCCUUUUUCUAAGAGGUCUUUGAGUUGCUCCUUCAACUCUUUAAGUUCUGCGGGAGCCAUACAGUAUGGAGGUAUGGAAAUACGAUGAGUUCUAGGAAGGAGAUCAAUCCCGAAUUCUAUUUCUCUAUCAGGUGGGACCCUGGGAAGGUCUUCCAGGAAAACAUCAGGAAACUCUUUAACAAUGCUAACUAACUGAAUAGUCGGAGUCUCAGACUUGAGGUACUUAACUCGAACUAGAUGAUAGAAGUAACCCUUGAAAAUCAACUUCCUAGCUUUGAGGUAGGAUAUGAAAUGGAUCUUCGGAGUUACAGAAUUCCUGAACCACUCAAACACGGGCUUGUUAGGAAACUGAAACUCUACCACUCGGGUAUGACAAUUUAUAAAUGCAUAGCACUAGUGAAGCCAAUCUAUACCCAGAAUGAUGUCAAAAUUAACCAUAUCUAACCCGAUGAAGGACAGUAAUAGGACACUUCUUAUACACUCGCUUAGCAAUAGCAGACUCUCCU
rnacentral:lncRNA from 1 species